rnacentral:lncRNA from 1 species
GGGUGAGUAAUGAAGUAAGAUAUGUUAAUUAUUUAUCAUAUUUGUUUUAAUGGAUUUUGCAAUUUAUUUUUUAAAUGAUUUGUUUAGUUUUGACGAAUUUUCAUAGUGGCUUUUCACUAAAAAGGGUUUUGUUAAAAAAGUUUGGGAUUUUGAUGCUUGUGAAUUGUGAUGACUACACGAACAUCAUGGGUAGAUAUGGCUGC